CGAGAAAUAACGAGACCGUUCUCUACGAGGCCGGUCAUCGGAAUGGGUACAAUUUAAACCCUUUAACGAGUAUCUAUGAGAGGGCAAGUCUGGUGCCAGCAGCCGCGGUAAUUCCAGCUCUCAAAAUGCAUAGAAUUAUUGCUGCGGUUAAAAAGCUCGUAGUUGGAUCUGUGCCGGUGGACCCGGUCCACUCGAAAGGGUGCGCACUGGGCUCCCCGGCUUUCUGCCGGUUUUCCCGUCGUGGCCUUAACUGGUUGCGGCGGGUGGCUGGCGAUUUUACUUUGAACAAAUCAGAGUGCUUAAAACAGGCGUUUCGCUUGAAUGUUCGUGCAUGGAAUAAUAGAAAAGGAUUUCGGUUCUAUUUUAUUGGUUUUAUAGACUGAGAUAAUGGUUAACAGAGACAAACGGGGGCAUUCGUAUUGCUGCGUGAGAGGUGAAAUUCUUGGACCGCAGCAAGACGAACUACAGCGAAAGCAUUUGCCAAGAAUGUCUUCAUUAAUCAAGAACGAAAGUCAGAGGUUCGAAGGCGAUCAGAUACCGCCCUAGUUCUGACCGUAAACGAUGCCAACUAGCGAUCCGCCGGCGGAUGCAUUGCCCUGGUGGGGAGCUUCCCGGAAACGAAAGUCUUCCGGUUCCGGGGGAAGUAUGGUUGCAAAGCUGAAACUUAAAGGAAUUGACGGAAGGGCACCACCAGGAGUGGAGCCUGCGGCUUAAUUUGACUCAACACGGGAAAACUCACCCGGCCCGGACACCGUAAGGAUUGACAGAUUGAUAGCUUUUUCAUGAUUCGGUGGAUGGUGGUGCAUGGCCGUUCUUAGUUCGUGGAGCGAUUUGUCUGGUUUAUUCCGAUAACGAGCGAGACUCUAGCCUACUAAAUAGUCUGCACAUUGCUUUGUGUCGCAGUACUUCUUAGAGGGAUUUUCGGUGUACAGCCGCACGAAAUUGAGCAAUAACAGGUCUGUGAUGCCCUUAGAUGUCCGGGGCUGCACGCGCGCUACACUGGCAAAAUCAGCGUGCUUGUCCUUUCCCGAAAGGGAUUGGUAAACCAUUGAAAAUUUGCCGUGAUUGGGAUUGGAAAUUGCAAUUAUUUUCCGUGAACGAGGAAUUCCAAGUAAGUGCGAGUCAUCAACUCGCGUUGAUUACGUCCCUGCCCUUUGUACACACCGCCCGUCGCUGCCCGGGACUGAGCCAUUUCGAGAAACUUGGGGAUCGCUGGUCGGGGACCUUCGGGUCUUCCUUCCGGUGAAAACCAAUUUAAUCGCAGUGGCUUGAACCGGGCAA
rnacentral:rRNA from 1 species